UACGAAGGGGGCUAGCGUUGCUCGGAAUUACUGGGCGUAAAGCGCACGUAGGCGGCUUCUUAAGUCGGUGGUGAAAUCCUGGAGCUCAACUCCAGAACUGCCUUCGAUACUGGGAAGCUCGAGUCCGGGAGAGGUGAGUGGAACUGCGAGUGUAGAGGUGAAAUUCGUAGAUAUUCGCAAGAACACCAGUGGCGAAGGCGGCUCACUGGCCCGGUACUGACGCUGAGGUGCGAAAGCGUGGGUAGCAAACAGG
rnacentral:rRNA from 1 species